AGGGUUAAAUUAAGUGACGGUUCAGCUCCUCACUCUCAGACCCCUUUCGUUCUCACAUCUCUCUUGCCUCACCGGAAAUCGCUCCGCCGCGCCGGAGGCGGCGGAGCUCGGCCAAGUUCAAAACUACAUUCGCCAAUCAAUCCGUCUCCGCCUCCUCUUUCUAGAUACGAGACCUCUUUCCCCAUAUUCUAUCUCAAUCCCCUCCAAUCUGAACCACAAAGUAACCCUAGAUCUAAGCCAAGACGAAAUUAAACACUACCGGAUGUGAGUUCGACCUCGAGGCCUUGGGUUUUUCGAUCAAUAUGGCGAACCGAACAUCAUAACAUCAAAGAAUGACCAAUAAUGUAUGAGCACGAAGGGUAGGAGAACUUACCGGUGACGGAGAUUUUCGGAGAUGCUCAAAAUACCAGAGGUGAUACCGUUGUUGAUAUGCUGGUGGUGUUGAAGCCUGAAUGAAUGUUGAAGCUUGUCGCCGAACUGAAGAUGAAGAUGGUGGUUCACUUAUCACUGAGGCAGAGGUUGCAACGAGUCUCAAGCUCGUGAAGGAUGAAUUGAAGAUGAUAUCAAGGCUGUGAUGUAAGGGAUGAAGAGUGUAUGAAGAUGAAGCAAAUUGUGUGCAAGAGGAGAAGAUGAAUGGUGAAGCCGAGAGAGUUCAGAGAUGAAGCUUAGAGGAGGAUGCAGUGAGUGGAAGCAAUGGUUGAAGAUGAUGAAUCAAGUGGAUGGUGAAGAAAAAGUGGAGUGAUGAAGAAGAAUGGAUCAAUGAAGUAGCGUGUGAAGAUUGAAAAUGGUGGAGAGAGUGGAAGAAUGAUGAGCGUGAACUUGGAAAAAUGGUGGAGGGGCUUGAAUGAAGGUGGAGCAGAGUAUAUAUAGGUUUGUGAAUGAAGCUUUUUCUUUGUGCAGUAAUACAGGGCUGAGUUGGCUUGACAUUUGUUUGGUGAAGCAAAUCAAUAGCAAGAUUUUGGCAUUGGUGACAUGGGACUGUUUGUGUGUGUAAAGGCUGCUGGUUUUGGAUGUGUUAUAUAAGGCGCAGUAUACUCAAGGCCGAAGUGAAGUUCAAAAGAGUGGCAUGGAGAUGUACUGGAUGUUUAUUACUGGCUGCAUGAUACAGGCGGUGGGGGUCUCAAAGAUGAAGAGAAAACGAAGACUAACAUAGAGAAUAGAUUUAGGACAAUUUUGUAAUGCUUAUCUCUAUGUAAAUGGAUAGAUUUGUUGUUAUAAUUUUGUAGUGAAUUGGAUAUUUGGAUGAAUAGGAUUUUGUAAUGAGUUUGAAAUUGUAAAAUGUAAUGUGAUGGACUUGAGAUAAAUAAAGUGUACUUUGUGACUUUCAAUAGAGUAUGUGAUGUAGCUUUUGGUCUUUGUAAUGUAUCCUUGAAUUUUGUAAUUGAAUUUUGUAAUGAGACUUUAAAUAAAUCAUUCUUGAAAUAGAAGCCCCAAUUUUUAGAUCCUUGAUCCUAAUGUCAGGUUUAUUUACUAAUGAUGCAUGGUGAGUUAGAUGACCUAAUGAAUGAAAUUAUGAGACGCAUAAGCCAAUUAUAACUAAAAUCAGAUGGGCAAAUUUUGGGGUGCAACAGCUGCCCCUAUUUAAUCGUCUUAAACCUGAAUGAGAUUGGCGUCAGCUUUUCAAACAUUCAAGGUAGAAGAUGAUUAAAUAUCAAGUGAACCUGAAAAUUUGCCUUAUGAGAGAUAGAAUCCACUGGGGAAAGUGAUAGUGUCAUUUAUUGAGGAGAACUGCGUCAAUUCUGGA